UACAGAGGUCUCAAGCGUUGUUCGGAUUCAUUGGGCGUAAAGGGUGCGUAGGUGGCGCGGUAAGUCGGGUGUGAAAUUUCGGAGCUUAACUCCGAAACUGCAUUCGAUACUGCCGUGCUUGAGGACUGGAGAGGAGACUGGAAUUUACGGUGUAGCAGUGAAAUGCGUAGAGAUCGUAAGGAAGACCAGUGGCGAAGGCGGGUCUCUGGACAGUUCCUGACACUGAGGCACGAAGGCCAGGGGAGCAAACGGA
rnacentral:rRNA from 1 species